rnacentral:rRNA from 1 species
CAAAACAUCACCUCCAGCAUCCCUAGUAUUGGAGGCACUGCCUGCCCAGUGACAACUGUUUAACGGCCGCGGUAUCCUGACCGUGCAAAGGUAGCAUAAUCAUUUGUUCUCUAAAUAAGGACUUGUAUGAAUGGCCACACGAGGGUUUUACUGUCUCUUACUUCCAAUCAGUGAAAUUGACCUUCCCGUGAAGAGGCGGGAAUGCAUAAAUAAGACGAGAAGACCCUAUGGAGCUUUAACUAACCAACCCAAAGAAAAUAAAUUUAACCAUUAAGGAACAACAAAAAUCUCCAUGAGUUGGUAGUUUCGGUUGGGGUGACCUCGGAGAAUAAAAAAUCCUCCGAACGAUUUUAAAGACUAGACCCACAAGUCAAAUCGCUCUAUCGCUCAUUGAUCCAAAAAAUUGAUCAACGGAACAAGUUACCCUAGGGAUAACAGCGCAAUCCUACUUAAGA